AAUUUGAUGUCUUCUUUCCAUCCUGGGAAUGGACAUAAUGAUAGUCGGAGGUCUGUGUUUUAUGCUAAUGAAAAGUGGGAAUUUUUAGACCCAACCCCUAAGGACCUAGAGGAAUCCAUAGUACAGGAAGAAAAGAAGAAGCCAAUCCCUGAAGGAAACAAAGUUUCACAAAGGCUGAAAAAUUUGCCUCAUACUUCGCUCAAAGCCAAACAGUUGCUUCAAACUUCAUCUACAAAUAGAGAAACAACAGAACCAAGAAAUGGUGGAUCAGUUGGAAGAAGUAACUCUUUGCUCACAACAUGACUGCUGGGUUUGGGGGACACUCAGAUGUAGAGGCCUCAGUCUCAUCUCACCCACUCCCAGCCUGGGGAAGAAGGCUCACCCCCCAGAUUCCACCCCAUCCCCAUAAGUUCCCUGAUAACUUGGUCCCAUGGGUGGAACUGUCCUGGGGCAUUGGUGCCAUUCUGGGGGCAUGUCCCUUGCUGUACCAUCUCUGCCUCCCCCUAGUAAGAGCUCUGUCUUCCUCUUCCUAUAGGAAAAGAAGAAGUGCCACCAAAAGCAGGGAGCCCCAAGGGAGCAGUUACAGGAGAGUCUGAAGAUCUGGCCAGCCACCUUUAGUAUUCCUGGCAGUGUGUGGGAGAGUUGGAGCAGGCUCUCUGCUGUCUCCAUACAGCAGAAGAAAGCAGACAGGUACAACAAGGAGGUAACCAGAGAGAGAGACACCCUCAGGCUGGAGUUAUACAAGAACAGUUCAUUCCUUUCUCUACUGCCUCUGGCCAUAACCCAAGCAAUGAGGACCUGAAGCAGGAGAAAUCAGAAUUGGAAGAGAAGCUUCAAGUCCUAGUGACUGAGAAGGCUGGCAUGCAGCUUAUCUUAGAAGAGCCACAAAAGAAAUUACAAAUGACUGCACUCCUGCUUCAACAGGCUAGGGGUUUUCAAGGCACUGUGAAGCCCCUGAUGCUAAACAGCAGUUACCGCAGGCCAUGGAGGAGCGGGCACAGCUGAAAGCACACCUAGGGCAGGUAAUGGAGUCAGUUAGAUAACUACAAAUGGAGAGAGAUACGUAUGCUGAAAAUCUGAAAGGAGGGAGUGCCAUGUGGUGUCAGAGGAUGCAGCAGAUGUCAGAGCAGGUGUGCACAUUGAGAGAGGAGAAGGAGGAUAGCAUGAGUUGGGUAUAAGAACUGUAGAUGAGCUUGGCUGAACAGGGCCCUCCAAGGUGGAGCAGCAGCUACAAGCAGAGGCUGACCACCUGCAGAAGGAGCUGGAGAGUCUGGCAGCUCUGAGCCCAGGAGCAAGACACUGAGGGCUUCAGUCACCUGAACCAGGAGUAGGAGGAGAGGCUGCUGGAGCUGGAGCAGGUGGCCAAGCUCUUGGGGGAGCAGGCAGAGUCAUGCAGGCAAAUCCUGGAGACCAUGCAGCACAAAUGCACCACCAUCAGCCACGUGCUCACCCAGAACCACGAGCUCAAAGAGCAGCUGUCUCAGCUACAGAACGGAUUCAUAAAGCUGACUAACGAGAACAUGGAGAUCACCAGUGCACUGCAGUUGGAAUAGCACAUAAAGAGGGAGCUGGGAAGGAAGCUGGGCAAGCUAAAGGAGACGGUAACCCUGCCCCAUCCAAGAAGAGCUGGAAGGCGGGCACCAGCCUCUGGGGAGGGGAGGUGUGAAGCCAGAGGCAGCUCCAGCCUGGGGGACAGGUGACUCCAGCACCCUCCAGGGCAGUCCUGUGACUGUUUCUUGCUUCCCGCCCUCUGACAUUUAGUGGUGGACUCCUGCCAGGUCUGGACAUCAUCAUCCCAGCUAGAGUCAUGGAGCCCCCCCAAACAUAGGGAAAGAGACAGUGGUAUAAGAGGCUCCUUAGAGUCAAACUAGAUUCCGGCCUUGGCUCCACUGGUUACCUACUUUUCAUCUCUAAGUCUCGGUUUCUUUAACUUAAAAGGGAAGUUAGCACCUUCCUCUUGGAGGUGCUGAGGAUUAAAUGAGAUAAUAUGUGGAAAGCAUUAGGCAUGUAGCACAGUUAGCAGAUGGUGGUUGGCUCCUUCUGCUUUUCCCUCAUUCUGUGGCCUAGUUUAAAUGGUGGGAGGAAGUGUGUGAGAUUUAAGGCUGGGUGUAGGGGAUCAGUCAGUGUGGUUGGAAAAAUUGUAAGAUGAAGUUAUAGGAUAUAGACACAAACCUUCUUGGAAGGCCAGAAGGUCUGCAUAGCUUCAUUAAAGGAUUUGGCUGAAAGCAGCCUAAUCCCCUUUACCUUGAGUUGAUAGCAAUAGAGCAAAUAACAUGGGAACAUGGGGGAGUUUAUUGAAUAGCUUGUUUACUCAUGUGGUCCUAAGACCAACCUUUGAUUAUCCACGGGUCCAUGAUUGCUCUCUACUCUGUGGUCGGCAAAUUUAAUUACCCACAGGUGUGUUGACUCAAAGCCUCUGACAUUAAAUCUGUGCUGAAUAAAUGCCGUCACGGCCAGCUAGUCAAGGUGCACAACUCUUUUUGUGCGUGGUCUGGCCCCUUAGCUGCUCUGUCACUGAAUAUCGGUGUCUGAGUAUGUUAUUCAUCUGCAGUGCAGCUGGGGUUUGCAGGACAGACCCCUGCAAGUGGUGCCCUGCGUGAGGCACGCUGUGAAGGAUCACAACGGACCCCUUGAAAACAAAGGUGAAAAGAACUGUGCAGUCACACGAUGCAUCAAACCAUACCAUGACGUGACUAGGACCCAACCUGGUACCAGAAAUGAAGGAACUGACCCUACAGGACUCACAACCCUGGAUGAUGCGGCUUCCUCGGACGGCACAAGCCCUGGACAUUACCUGGGGGAUGCUGAAGAAGGCAACUCAGGAGGCUGAAUGAAUCCUGCUCCGGACACAGACACCAUUCACUCCAGAUAAUCUGUUCCUUGCUAUGCUCUCUGUUGAUGCAAAGCCAGAAUAAGAGCAAUGACCACCAUGCCUGACAGACCUGUUGCUGCACACACCUGUACUCUCCAAUGAACAAGACUGAAUGCAAAAAAACAGAAAAGGGGGAGAUUUAGGGGAUCAGUCAGUGUGGUUGGAAAAUUGUAAGAUGAAGUUAUAGGAUAUAGAUACAAACCUUCUUGGAAGGCCAGAAGGUUUGCAUAGCUUCAGUAAAGGAUUUGGCUGAAAUCCUUUUUACCCCUAAUCCCCUUUACCUUGAGUUGAUAGCAAUAGAGCAAAUAAUAUGGGAAUGUGGGGGAGUUUAUCUGAAUAGCUUGUUUACUCAUGUGGUCCUAAGACCAACCUUUUGAUAAUCCACAAGUGCAUGAUUGCGCUCUACU